rfam:Candidatus Symbiobacter mobilis CR, complete genome.
UGCUUCGCGAGAAGUAGUCUGGAGGAAGCCUGAGUGCAAAGGUGCGAGACGACGAACAGGAACCGCAUAGAAGGCCCAGAGAGCUGAGGCGAGCUGGCACAGGACGGCAAAGCCAUCGGUUUGGCGCUUAGGGUAAAUGCGGCGUUUGCGCACAGAAAGUUUGCGUU